UAAGGAUCCGGUGUUGCCCUGAGCUGUGGUGUAGGUUGCAGAUGCAGCUCAGAUCUGGAGUUGCUGUGGCUGUGGCAUAGGUCAGCUCCAAUUCGACCCCUAGCCUGGGAACUUCCAUAGCUGCGGGGGGAUGCAGCCCAAAAAAGAAAAAAAAGAAAGAAAGAAAAAAAAAGAAAGAAAUGCAGCCUGUAGUAUUGUUGGAAUUCUUAUUUGCCAAGGAAGAAUCAUCUUCAUUUUUGUAGGGAAUAUGGAAAAGCAGUGUGGCUCAUAUAACAUCCCAGAAGAAGAAAUCUAGGCUAUAUGAAGAGCAUCUCAAGAGAAAAAAAAUACCUUGAACAAGUAAAAGGAUAACUCAUCAUGACAAUGAGACAUAUGGUCAAAGAUUCAACAAAAACCAUAAGUUUGAAAAUGUUAAAUAAUAGUUUAGGAACAUUAUCCAACAAAGCUUUCCUGUGAUGCAAGUCUCCGCGUGAGAAUAUUUUUUGAAAGCUUUCAUAUUAGUACUGCAUAUAGUGUACAUAAAUAAAACACAGAAAGAAAAUUAUAUAUGAUGCCA
rnacentral:lncRNA from 1 species